CAGUUAGCUAACACUGUCAGCUACUAUGGAACAAGGUACACUGUUGGGAUGAUCCUCACCUAUGGCUCUACUGGUGGACUACCUGACUUUGCUGAGAUUGUUCAGAUAGCCAUUUUGGACAACUGUAUAUAUUUUAUUGUAAAGUUACUUGCUGCCUGGUAUGAAGAGCAUUUAAGAUCUUUUUACCUGGAGGUCACUGGGAAAAUGGCUCUUUUGGAUCAGCAGAAACUUGGUGACGUCCACCCCUUGGCCGCGUACAGUGUGGGAGGAAAACGCUUGGUUACACUCAAACGUCACAUCUGUUGUGCAUUUUAGAGAUGGAGGCAAAGCUCAGAGUAAUCCUUAAUGACAGAGUUGAGAAGUUGGUCCUUCCAUCAGGAAUCCCACCCACUGUGGAGGAGCUGCAAACUGUUGUGAAGGAGACCUUUGGAAUUUCUGAUGAGUUCAGUCUUCAGUAUUUGGACUCAGAAUUUGAAGAUUACUUUACUCUUCAUACAAGUGACCAAAUUAAACACAAAGACACCAUAAAGAUUGUUCACACUGCCCCAAUUAUCCUUAACUUGCUCCCACUUGAUGAAAGUUUGGGCAGUUCCUUUGAUCAACAGUCAACAGACUGUGAUUCUGCAUCGUAUGCAGACUCAUCUGCUGGAACGUCUUCUUCACAGGACACCAUUAUCCUGUCUAGGCGAAAUACUACAGAACGAUGUCAAGGGUGGCCAAAGCAGUUCCCCAUUCCAGGGUUUGCAUAUGAAACUGAGAUGUACCUUGAAAGAGCCACUGAAGACUACAAGAACAAUGGAACACUUGUGACUACCUCAAAGAUCAAGACAGACAUACUUGAGAAGCUGGCUGAAACUAUAUAUACGUAUACAGCCUAUCCAUCAAGUGCACAGAUAAGUGAUGUUGCUGAGGCACUUGUCAGUAAGUAUCCUUGUCUUAAGGAACCCGGCUCCUUCUCAGGUUAUUAUGGAUGGCAACAAAGCAUCAAAUACAAGAUGGCAAAUUAUCGCACCAAACUCCGAGGCUAUGGUGUUCCUGAGGUGAUGUGUAAUGCACUGAAACACAAGAACCCAGCAAACCAGAAGUCUGCAAAGAAUGUAAAAAAAACCUCGAAAGGCAGAGGUAAACUACCUCCCCCCUUACCCGGCAGGAGAGGAUGAAGAAAGUCAAGAACAAGAGAGGAUUCAGUUGCUUACUGAAGUAAGAAAAAGGGACAACAACAAAUUGAUCAAAGAAAAAAUGGCAAAAUCAUUUGCACACAGAAGAAACGAAAUCAUCAACCUAUCACCCAACAUAGAAGACAUCAAAACCAGAUGGCCUGCUCUAUUUGAGCCCUCUCAAAUCCAGGAUGAGUUUCACAGAAUCACAAUGGUG